GGGAUUGCCUCAGUAACGGCGAGUGAAGCGGCAACAGCUCAAAUUUGAAAUCUGGCCCCUUCGGGGUCCGAGUUGUAAUUUGUAGAGAGUGUUUCGGGUGAGACCACGGUCUAAGUCUAUUGGAACAUUACGUCAUAGAGGGUGAGAACCCCGUAUGCGACCGUGGCUCGAGCCCAUGUGAAGCCUCUUCGACGAGUCGAGUUGUUUGGGAAUGCAGCUCAAAAUGGGUGGUAAAUUUCAUCUAAAGCUAAAUACUGGCUGGAGACCGAUAGCGCACAAGUAGAGUGAUCGAAAGAUGAAAAGCACUUUGGAAAGAGAGUCAAACAGUACGUGAAAUUGUUGAAAGGGAAGCGCUGGCAACCAGACCUGUCCGUAGGCGAUCAGCCGCUGUUCUCAGCGGUGCACUCGUUCUGCGAUCAGGCCAGCAUCGGUUUCGGCGGUCGGAUAAAGGCCCGGGGAACGUAGCUCCCUCCCGGGGGAGUGUUAUAGCCCCGGGCGCAAUGCGGCCAGCCGGGACCGAGGACCGCGCUUCGGCUAGGAUGCUGGCGUAAUGGUUGUCAGCGACCCGUCUUGAAACACGGACCAAGGAGUCUAACAUCUAUGCGAGUGUUUGGGUGUCAAACCCAUGCGCGGAAUGAAAGUGAACGGAGGUGAGAACCCUUUAGGGCGCAUCAUCGACCGAUCCAGAUGUUUUCGGAUGGAUUUGAGUAUGAGCAUAGCUGUUGGGACCCGAAAGAUGGUGAACUAUGCCUGAAUAGGGUGAAGCCAGAGGAAACUCUGGUGGAGGCUCGCAGCGGUUCUGACGUGCAAAUCGAUCGUCAAAUUUGGGUAUAGGGGCGAAAGACUAUC
rnacentral:rRNA from 1 species